GCCUAUCAUCGGCCGAGGCGGGACAUCGCUGCGGCCGGUGAUAGGCUGAAGGCUUUGUGACGUUCCCAUCCCCAGGACUGCAGCAAGAACAGCGGAGGACAGGGAGGCCGGUUCCUUAGCAACGGGGGAACGGAGGACGAAAAUUGCUACAGUCUGAAGGAGGCUUCACUGAGGAAAUAACUUUACCCGAAUCCUCUGCGGUCCGAUCCAUGUACUUCCUGCAGAAUGUGUUGGUGUGUGAGAGCUGCUCUCUGGGGUACUUGCAAGAGCUAGAGCUGUAGCUAGUUCACUUUGAGUGAUAGGACGAGGACCCGAAGCUCCAGUAUAUCCGAGAGAAGCUGGUCGGGGACCAGAUGUGCUGCUG